AAAUAUACACAUAUAAAAAUAUUUUCAGUAAUAUAAAAAUGGGUUUUGCUAACGUAAGCUUUUAAAGGUCUCAUGGAGUUGCCGAUCAUCCAUCUGAACCGUUCAUUCAUUGUAAGGAGCAAACUAUGGUGUAAAAACAACACCAAUCAGAUGAUUCUAAACGUCCGAUCAAUCUCAUGGAAAGUCGACAGCCAAUAUUGAGGGGAGAAACGAAAUAUCUCCUAUCAUCAUCUCCCCCUUUGUAUUGCUUAUGAUUCCAAACCGGCAAUUUUCUUUGAUCUAUGGCCCGUAAAUGACAGAUGGUUGUAACAAAUUGGCCUCGUCAACGGUUAGGAUCGGCAUUAGUUUUGUACCAUGGCUUGCUCUUAGUAGUUAUUUUCAAUGAACCGUCAUGAACAAUGAUUGCGCAUCCUACGUGUCAUUUAAAAGCUGUUGGAUUUGGGUUUGGGUUUUUUUUUUUUAUUUUUUUCGCCUGAUCCAGACCGUUUAGUUGAUAGGAUCUCCAAAAGCCAGAUGCCACAUAAUCCCCCAGAGUGAAUAUUUCAACCCUUUGAUUAUGUAAAGGUUCUAAUGAGCAGCUAUUCAUGUAAAUGGCUAAAGAGUCGUAUCACCGAAUGGUUGAAAUAAUUCGAGUUCUCUGUAUCAUUGGAAGAUGACUCAGAUUCAACAGCUGAAGUGGACGUGCGUUGUAUUACAUCUAGUAGUAUCCGGUCAUACCUUUGGUUUUUUU